GGUUCGGUGGUGUAGUGGUUAUCACGUCUGUCUCACAUAUCGAACUGUGAUGUUGUGCACAGGAGGUCCCCGGUUCGAGACCGGGUCGAACCA